ensembl:lncRNA
GUUGGAACUGAUUCUUUGCUUUGGUAAAAAGAAAUAUUUUAAUAGAUGAAGGAUGUAUUUCAAAUAUUUUUCCAUUAAUACUUUCACUUUAAGAACCUGCAUUAGCAACAAGUUUAGACUUCAUAUGCAGAGUAAAAAGCUAUUACUUUUAUUUUUCUUUGGUUCCAGGGAUUGAACUCAGAACCUUGUGCUUUCGAGGCAGGCGCAGUGCCACUGAGCUAAAUCCCUAGCCCAUAAAGCUAAUUCUUGUUAAGUGAAUGUUAUAAACAUUAGGUUCAACUUACUGUCUUUCCUCUACAUACCUACUGUAAUGCUGAAGAUGGUAGAGAUGUUAUUUUCCACACUUCCUGCUGAGCAGUAGUCCUUUAAAUAUAGGCAGAGCUAUUUAGUUUAAGGAGGAGAGAGACUUAAUCUAUAUCUGCUCAGCUUUGGAGGAAGGGGGGAACAAACCACUAAGGUAUUGUCUGUAUUUUAAGAUGCUUUGCAUACUUAAAAAUGCUUUUUCUUUCUGAAGAAUUAACAUUUCUUGUUUCAUUGUCAAGUUGGUCACAAGAGUUGUUGACAUGAGUUCUUUGGUGGGGUGGGGAAGAAAAAUACAAGGAAGGAAAACCAAAUGAUGGGGAACAAUGGUAUGCUAGAAUAAGAGAUACAGUAUUUCACCUAUCAAGCAUUUAAAAAUCAUUGAAAUUCAAGUCAUUCUACAAUCUUCCCUUGUCUUACUAACUGUUCUUGUGUAUAGGGAUUCUUUUCUUAUUAAAGGGGAAGUCAUGAGAGAUGGGAGGAUAGGGGCCAUACUGGUGGGAAAUCCCAAGAAAUGUGGCACCCUCAGAAGGGGUGUUCUUAGCCCUUUUCCACAGAGAAGGAAAGACAUUUUGGGAACAUGUUCCAUGACGCAUUGAUUGUAUCUGUUAGAAGACAUAUGGGCCUGUUGGGUUGGCAUCAACUCAGAGAGGGUUAGGCACCCAGUCCCCUGGCCCCUUUAAUUACCUCUUUAAAAUAUGAUUAAGCCUUUUUGGCUGAGGCUUGCCAGGGAAAGGUUUUCUAAGUGGCUUCAUUUAUUUUUUUAAUUUUUAAAUUUUUCCUUGGAAGAAGUACUAGUCAUAAAGUGUUUUCUUUUGUUUUUGUUCAUUUUUCCAUAUAAAAAUGCCCCUAAGAGAUUAAAGCACUUAAGUAAUUGCUGUCUGCUUACAAACUAGCAAACCAGCUAAAACAGGAGACUGCUACUGUUGUCUGGUUGCUUUUCAUCCUUUCAGUUCCUUUGACAGAUUACUUCUUAGGCUCUUAAGUUUGUGCCAACCCUGUGCUGGAUUGUGGAGAUUCAAAGAUGGAAAGAUAGUCCUUGAUCUUCAGGAACUCAGUGUCCAGUGGAAUAUAUUUGAAUGUAUGUGUAGUUGGAGAUUGUGUUAAUGGUCUUAAAAAAGGCCAUUUCUUUUAUAACAGUGUUCUUCAAUGGUCUUGUUUAGGAUGCCCUAUACCUAGCAGGCUGCCUUGAACUUUUUAUAGAGACCCACCAGUAUUUAUGAAAUUGAUCAUAACAUUGCUUUCUAUUCCCUAAGUAAUUUUACCAGGGGAGAAUGAAUCUUCUCCUGUAGUAAUUAUGGAACAAUAUAACUUCUCUUCAGGAGCAGCUUUUAGUUCAAGCACCAAGAAAUGAGGCAGGUUUAGAUUGCUGACAUGGUCACAGGUGGUCCACCCCUUAUUUUAGUAACCACCUAAUCUCUUCCCCAUCCUGACCUCUCAUUAGAGCUGGUAGCAACUUGGGAUUUCUUUCCUUUUUACUGUUGGCUCUUCAUUGCAGUGGAAGGCCAGCAGGAAGCAGGAGGAAGAAAAAUAAAGGCUACAUUAUAAUCAUGGUAUAUUCCAGCUAGAAUAGCAUGGAAACUAUCAAACUUCCUCUAUCCCUCUUUUUUUUUCUUUCUUUUUUUUUUAAACAAAUGAUGAUCUGGUGCCCUGUGUACUAUUUUAUGUGUAGUGUUUUGGGGCCUGAAUAAAUAAAGUUAUGCAUGCAACACGAUUUGCAAAUGAAGGGGACACCCAAAUUAAAAGGAACUUUUAAAAGUAGCUCACUCUUCUGAUUUUCUUCAGUUAAAAUGCACCCAUAUUCCCUGAAUAUAUAUGCUCAGGUAGAGAAAAGCCCCACAGUGGAAUACAAAGGUAUAAUCCUGAGAAGGGACAUAUUUUGGUUACGAUUGCCAUUUUAAUUACCAAUGGUUAAAAGCUAGCGAGCCAUUGAUUUUUUUUUUUUUUUUCAAAAUUGGAAACUCGUUUGGGUCUUAAAUCUUUUGUUAGCCUUUCCCCUGUCAGCCCAUACAUGGUUUUUUGGCCUGGUCAGUAGGUUGAACGUGGCUCAUUAUGUAUUUUGGGGACCCAAGAGAAAGCAGGUCUAUGGGGAGGUGGGAGCAGAUUCUAGGGAAUGAGGCUGCUGAUUAGAAUUAAGGUGGCCCAGAAAUGCAUCUUUACACAUGUGCAUCAUCCACUAUAGCUUUCUGAAUAUUUGUUCUGUACAGACUUAGAGAUAUGCAGAGCUCACCAGUUUAGAGAUUAAUCAAAUUAGAUGAAGGAAAAAGUGCCAAAACCUAAUAUGCAGAUUGUUCUAUGUAUUAUCAGUAUUUUUUCUAAGAAAAGUACUCUCUUCUUUGUGAGUACAUGCUUCCUUAAUAUCUUGCCAAGAAGGUGGCAACUUUUAAUUAUGUGAGAGGCAACCUCAAACUCUGAGCAGACUCCCUCCCUAUCUUUUUUCUGGCUUAAGAAAGACAUGGACAUAGCCAAGGCUAGGCAAGGCUUGUUCCUCUUUCUUUCAUUUUAUUUAAUAUGAGGUACAGACAAUGCACUCUUCAAAUAUAAAGCCCUUAACAGCUCAAGAGUAGCUUGUGGCCCUGGUUCCAGAUUAAUGUGGCAGCAUUUGGCUUCUCCCUGGUUGACGCUGCCUCCCCUCCAAGCUGUGCACCAGUGUGAGUGGGGCUCUCACUCUCAGUCAGGUUUGUAUCAGACAUGAUAAUCACUAACCUUGAGCCUCCCAGCAGAGCACUUAAGUCCUAGUAAGAGAAUAGGUACUAUGCAAGGGGAAAAAUGAUUAUUUUAAAUGCCAACUAAUAGAUUUUUUUCCUUUUAUGCCUGAUGUGCUGUUUACUCAGUUCUUUGUAUAAUACAGUUGUCCAAAGGGCCUUUGCCCCUUCUGCCUAGAAAUAGAAAAUGGUUGUCUAUUGGCUUUAUUUAACCUGCUGUGGCUCCCUGGUGAUCUAGUGGUUACAAUGUAUACAACCUGCUGUCUACAAUAGAAUUGGAGAAGAGGCCUGGAUCCUUGGGGACUACCACUUCAGGCUGCCACUUCUCCAACUCAUUAUAAAGAUAAUUUUGACAAAGAUUUGGAAAAGGCCAUGCCCUAUCAGGAUGCUUCUGCCACAAUGAAAUGGUGUGGAAUCAAGUGGGAUGAUGUGUUGUUUAUUUACAGUACCAAAGUGCAUUCUUCAAUGUGUAUUUGCCUGCUUGAGGCAAGGCCCAAGUUGAGAAUACAGUAAAGCAAAUUCAUGAAAGAAAAUGUUGUUUCUAAACAAAUUCUUGUCUCUAAAGAACAGUCUCAGACAAACAUGGGAUAAGCUUAGACUGUGUGUUGUUUGACUUUUAGUGCUAUCUUUAUGCUGGGGAAUACCUUCGAAUGACCUUCUUUGGCCUUCAGAAUGGUGGGAGAUAUUAGGAAGUGGGAUAGAAUUUAUAUACACAGUGUACAAUUACAUCUUUUAAUGUAAGUUAUCUACAGUUUACUGUCAUCCUUAUAUUCAUAUUCCUAAUAGAGGCACCAAGAAAAUUUGAGUAAAGAAUGAAUAUGGAUGACACUGUCCCUUGCA